UUUCAUGCACUCUCUCCAACUUGUCUUUCUCCCUAAACUUAGAUAUCUUGGUAUAAGUAAUGGACUGGAUCAGUGUUCCAAGGAAAGGGGGAGAAAUGGGGACUUGGGAGAUUGGCUGAUGAGGUGGGUGCUGCCACAGGCGUCGCCAAUGAAUUUCUUCUUAUUAUUCUUCUUUGAUUCCAAGAAACAGAACCGACUCUUUCUAUCUUUAUAUUCUUUUUGUCUUUUACUAAAUGGAUCAAUUUGUCUGGUAGCAUG
rnacentral:lncRNA from 1 species